rnacentral:rRNA from 1 species
UACGUAGGGUCCGAGCGUUGUCCGGAAUUACUGGGCGUAAAGUGUGCGCAGGCGGCCGCGCAAGUCGAGUGUGAAAUCCCCGAGCUUAACUUGGGAAUUGCGCUCGAAACUACGUGGCUGGAGUGUGGCAGAGGAAGGUGGAAUUCCACGUGUAGCGGUGAAAUGCGUAGAGAUGUGGAGGAACACCGAUGGCGAAGGCAGCCUUCUGGGCCAACACUGACGCUCAUGCACGAAAGCGUGGGGAGCAAACAGG